rnacentral:lncRNA from 1 species
ACAUGGGAAGGGAGAAGGAUGGCCAGAGGCCAGGGUGUGGAAGCCAGGACUGGGAAUUCUCUGCUAUGAAACGCUGCCUCUCAUGACUGAGCUCCUAGCCAGGCACUUGUGUUUAUGCAGGGCCUGGUUGUGCACAGAAUGGAGAGCAAGGCCGGCCGUUAGUCUUUCUGGACUUCUCAGGCUUUGGUCUACUCCAAGACCCUGGGAGGGCUGCCCUUUCUGCCUUGCAUUCCCCCAAAAGUCUCUGCUUCCUAACAACAAAGUUUGCCUUCUUAUUUAAGACGCAGUGAGCAGGCUUCUGUUCUUGCAGCCAAAGGAGCUUUGGUCCCAGCAGUGGUGGUGGCUGGGGCAGCACAGCCUCAUGCGUGGUCUUGGUGGAGUCCCAGGGCCCCUGUGUGCAAGGUCCAUGUUCCUCCAGCUCCCAGAGGCACAGCAGGGGCCAGGGCUGGGUCCUGCUGACCCUGAGAGUAAAGCUACCGCAAUCGCGAAGGAGAGUGCUCUGUGGGCUUUCACACCCCAGGAGUCCCAGGAUACAAGUAUCCUGAGGAGGGCCUCUGGGAGAGUCCUGCUGGGGACAUGGGUCCCAGUGCGGGGGAUAUUUUAUAGAUACACAGGAUGCUGAAGUUUCAAUCCAAGCCUUUUCCCUUCAUCGCCAACCACCCUCUUUAGUACUAGCAACAUCAUCACAUCGCUGCAGAGAAGCAAGUACCCUUGGGCAGCCUGGACCCCCACCCAAAGAGACUCACCAGGUUACAGAGGCUGGAAUCUGAUGGGGUGGUGGGUGUUGGUUAGGUUUUCUUAGGUUUAAGAAGAGGAUUUUCCCUACCCAUACCCCCACCAACCCCACCCCAUUGCCAUUCUCAAGAACUCAUCCCAGUUGCCAGGAAGAACAUCCCAGGCUGGGUUAUGCUGUGUGACCUUCUUACCAGUCUGCAGAUUAGAAGUAGGGUGGAUAUGCCGGGCGCGGUGGCUCACGCCUGUAAUCCCAGCACUUUGGGAGGCCGAGGCGGGCGGAUCACAAGGUCAGGAGAUGGAGACCACGGUGAAACCCCGCCUCUACUAAAAAUACAAAAAACUAGCCGGGCGAGGGGCGCCUGUAGUCCCAGCUACUCGGGAGGCUGAGGCAGGAGAAUGGCGUGAACCCGGGAGGCGGAGCUUGCAGUGAGCCGAGAUCGCGCCACUGCACUCCAGCCUGGGCGACAGAGCGAGACUCCGUCUCAAAAAAAAAAAAAAAA